CUUUACUGUAGCCUGGUAUUGGGUUCGGGCUUUGACUGCGCAGGAUAGGUGGGAGACUGAGAAGUGUGCCUUGUGGGGCACAUGGAGUCAACGGGUGAGAUACCACUCUGUCAGAGCUAGAAUUCUAACCUUCACCCGUAAUCCGGGGAAGGAACCGUAUCAGGUGGGCAGUUUGACUGGGGCGGUCGCCUCCUAAAAGGUAACGGAGGCGCGCAAAGGUGUUCUCAGGCUGGUUGGAAAUCAGCCGUAGAGUGUAAAGGCAGAAGAACGCUUGACUGUGAGAGUGACAACUCAAGCAGGGUGGAAACACGGCCUUAGUGAUCCGGCGGUAUGCGCGUGGAAGUGCCGUCGCUCAACGGAUAAAAGUUA
rnacentral:rRNA from 1 species